rnacentral:rRNA from 1 species
CACGUAGGGCGCAAGCGUUGUCCGGAAUUAUUGGGCGUAAAGAGCUCGUAGGUGGUUUGUCGCGUUGUUCGUGAAAACCGGGGGCUUAACCCUCGGCGUGCGGGCGAUACGGGCAGACUGGAGUACUGCAGGGGAGACUGGAAUUCCUGGUGUAGCGGUGGAAUGCGCAGAUAUCAGGAGGAACACCGGUGGCGAAGGCGGGUCUCUGGGCAGUAACUGACGCUGAGGAGCGAAAGCGUGGGGAGCGAACAG